CGCGUAGGCGGUCCGAGAAGUUUUGGGUGAAAGCCCCCGGCUCAACCGGGGAAGUGCCUGGAAAACCAUCGGACUGGAGUGCUGGAGAGGCAAGCGGAAUUUCUGGUGUAGCGGUGAAAUGCGUAGAUAUCAGAAGGAACAUCUGAGGCGAAGGCGGCUUGCUGGACAGACACUGACGCUGAGGCGCGAAAGCUAGGGGAGCAAACG
rnacentral:rRNA from 1 species